GAUGAACGCUGGCGGCGUGCCUAAUACAUGCAAGUCGAGCGAACAGAUGAGGAGCUUGCGCCGCUGACGUGAGCGGCGGACGUGUGAGUAACACGUGGAUAACCUACCUAUAAGACUGGGAUAACCUCGGGAAACCGGAGCUUAUACCGGAGAAUCUACUGAACCGCAUGGUUGAAUAGUGAAAGACGGUUUUGCUGUCACUUAUAGAUGGAUCCGCGCCGCAUUAGCUAGUUGGGAAGGUAACGGCUUACCAAGGCAACGAUGCGUAGCCGACCUCAGAGGGUGGUCGCCCGCCCUGGAGCUGGGCCGCGGUCCAUACUCCUACGGGAGGCCGCAGUAUGGUAUCUUCCGCAGUGGGCGGGAGCCUUACGGAACGACGCCGCGCGAGUGACGGCGGUCUUCGGAUCGUAAAACUCUCUUUUUAGUGGUAAACCACUUUGUAAGUUGCUAAGCACGUCUUGACGGUAACUGGUCAGAAAGCCCCGGCUAACUACGUG
rnacentral:rRNA from 1 species